rnacentral:rRNA from 1 species
AUAUCAAUAAGCGGAGGAAAAGAAACCAACCGGGAUUGCCCUAGUAACGGCGAGUGAAGCGGCAACAGCUCAAAUUUGAAAUCUGGCGUCUUCGACGUCCGAGUUGUAAUUUGCAGAGGAUGCCUCGGAGGGCGUGUCGGUCCAAGUGCCUUGGAACAGGAUGCCGCAGAGGGUGGGAGCCCCGUAUCCGGCCGACGUCGCGCUCCGUGUGAGGCUCCUUCGACGAGUCGAGUUGUUUGGGAAUGCAGCUCUAAGCGGGUGGUAAAUUCCAUCUAAAGCUAAAUACUGGCCAGAGACCGAUAGCGCACAAGUA